CAGAGAUGAUGACUGGUCCAUUGAAGAGAAGAAUAACACACUGUCAUUUCCCUCUUAGUACAUUGAUGAAAAUGCAGUUAUUUGCUUGGAUGGUGAUGGCUGCAAGGUUCGCAAUGGGUUGGCUACUAUUGAAGGAGAUUCUGAUCUCGAUACAUCAAUAGCCUGUGAUUCAUGUGAUAUAUGGUAUCAUGCCUUCUAUGUGGGAUUUGAUACUGAAGGUACAUCAGACAGUACAU